rnacentral:tRNA from 1 species
UCCCUGGUGGCUCAGUGAUAAAGAAUCUGCCUGCCAAUGCAGAAGACACGGGUUCGACCCCUGACCCGGGAA